UGAGCCCCGUAGGGCCAGGGAGGCACCAGCUGCCAUGAGGGGAGGAGGCCGAGGCCGCAGCUUGAGGGAGACUCCGGCCCCUCUGCGCCUGUGUCUGGCAGAGCUGGCGUGAGACGUGACAAUCCUGCCACGCUGCUGGGAUAAUCAAGAAUUUUGGCCAGAGCUUUGAGCACACACCAAGAGAGUGAGGAGCCAGACGACAAGCACACACUAUGGCGCUGAAACAGAUUAAUAAGGAACAUAGUGAUUUGGCCCGUGACCCUCCAGCACAAUGUUCUGCAGGUCCAGUAGGGGAUGAUAUGUUUCAUUGGCAAGCCACAGUUAUGGGACCUAAUGACAGCCCAUAUCAAGGUGGUGUAUUCUUUUUGACAAUUCAUUUUCCUACAGACUAUCCCUUCAAACCACCUAAGGUUGCAUUUACAACAAGAAUUUAUCAUCCAAAUAUUAACAGUAAUGGCAGCAUUUGUCUUGAUAUUCUAAGAUCACAGUGGUUGCCUGCUUUAACAAUUUCCAAAGCUCUUUUAUCCAUUUGUUCACUGCUAUGUAAUCCAAACCCAGAUGACCCCCUAGUACCAGAGAUUGCACGGAUCUAUAAAACAGACAGAGAUAAGUACGACAGAAUAUCUAGGGAAUGGAUUCAGAAGUAUGCCAUGUGAUGCUACCUUAAAGUCAGAAUAACCUGCAUUAUAGCUGGAAUAAACUUUAAAUUACUCUUCCUUUUUUGAUUUUCUUAUCUGGCUGCUCCCCUAUCAGACUUCAUCUUUUUUAAUUUUGUUUUUUGUUUACCUCCCUCCAUUCACAUGCUUAUCUGAGAAGACUUAAGUUCUUCUAGCUUUGGACAAUAACUGCUUUUAGAAACUGUAAAGUAGUUACAAGAGAACAGUUGCCCAAGACUCAGAAUUUUUUAAAACAUGGAGCAUGUGUAUUGUGUGGCCAAUAUCUUCACUCUAACUUGGUUAUGAGGCUAAAACCAUUCCUCAAUGCUCUAACAUGCUGAAGAAAUCAUCCUGAGGGGGAGGGAGAUGGAUGCUCAGUUGUCACAUCAAAGGGAACAGCAUUAUUCUAGCAGCAUCCAUUCUUGUUUAAGCCUUCCACUGUUAGAGAUUUGAGGUUACAUGAUAUACUUUAUGCUCAUAACUGAUGUGGCUGGAGAAUUGGUAUUGAAUUUAUAUCAUCAGCAGAACAGAGAAUGUGAUGUAUUUUAUGCAUGUCAAUAAAGGAAUGACCUGUUCUUGUUCUACAGAGAAUGGAAAUUGGAAGUCAGACACCCUUUGUAUUCCAAAAUAGGGUCUCAAACAUUUUGUAAUUUUCAUUUAAAUUGUUAGGAGGCUUGGAGCUAUUAGUUAAUCUGUCUUCCAGUACACUGUUUAAUACAGCACUGAAUAAAUGAUGCAAGUUGUCAAUGGAUGAGUGAUCAACUAAUAGCUCUGCUAGUAAUUGAUUUAUUUUUCUUCAAUAAAGUUACAUAAACCAAUGAGUUAACUGCCUGGGUUAAUCAGUAUGGGAAACAAUCUUUUGUAAAUGCAAAGCUGUUUUUUGUAUAAACUUGGGAUUUGCUUCAUUGUUUGACAUCAAAUGAUGAUGUAAAGUUCAAAAGAGUGAAUAUUUUGCCAUGUUCAGUUAAAGUGCACAGUCUGUUACAGGUUGACACAUUGCUUGACUUGAUUUAUGCAGAAUUAAUAAGCUAUUUGGAUAGUGUAGCUUUAAUGUGCUGCACAUGAUACUGGCAGCCCUAGAGUUCAUAGAUGGACUUUUAAGACCCAGCAGUUUUGAAAUGUGUUUGUGGAGUUUAAGAAAUUUAUUUUCCAGCUGCAGCGCCUGUCUAACUGAAAUUUCUCUUCACCUUGGACACUUGACAGCUGAAAAAAACCAUAAUAUGGGAGUAAUAAUGGGUCAAAAUUUACAAAAUAAAGUACUGUUUUGGUGUGGG